rnacentral:rRNA from 1 species
GACGAACGCUGGUGGCGUACUUAACACAUGCAAGUCGAACGGUAAGGCCCUUCGGGGUACACGAGUGGCGAACGGGUGAGUAACACGUGGGUGAUCUGCCCUGCACUUCGGGAUAAGCCUGGGAAACUGGGUCUAAUACCGGAUAGGACCACUGCCUGCAUGGGUGGUGGUGGAAAGCUUUUGCGGUGUGGGAUGGGCCCGCGGCCUAUCAGCUUGUUGGUGGGGUGAUGGCCUACCAAGGCGACGACGGGUAGCCGGCCUGAGAGGGUGACCGGCCACACUGGGACUGAGAUACGGCCCAGACUCCUACGGGAGGCAGCAGUGGGGAAUAUUGCACAAUGGGCGCAAGCCUGAUGCAGCGACGCCGCGUGAGGGAUGACGGCCUUCGGGUUGUAAACCUCUUUCAGCACCGACGAAGCGCAAGUGACGGUAGGUGCAGAAGAAGGACCGGCCAACUACGUGCCAGCAGCCGCGGUAA